rnacentral:rRNA from 1 species
GGGUUGUGAGGUUAAGCGACCAAGCGUACACGGUGGAUGCCCUGGCAGUCAGAGGCGAUGAAGGACGUGCUAAUCUGCGAAAAGCGCCGGUAAGGUGAUAUGAACCGUUAUAACCGGCGAUGUCCGAAUGGGGAAACCCAGUGUGACUCGUCACACUAUCAUUAACUGAAUCCAUAGGUUAAUGAGGCGAACCGGGGGAACUGAAACAUCUAAGUACCCCGAGGAAAAGAAAUCAACCGAGAUUCCCCCAGUAGCGGCGAGCGAACGGGGAGGAGCCCAGAGCCUGAAUCAGCAUGUGUGUUAGUGGAAGCGUCUGGAAAGGCGCGCGAUACAGGGUGAGAGCCCCGUACACAAAAGCGCAUGUGUUGUGAGCUCGAUGAGUAGGGCGGGACACGUGGUAUCCUGUCUGAAUAUGGGGGGACCAUCCUCCAAGGCUAAAUACUCCUGACUGACCGAUAGUGAACCAGUACCGUGAGGGAAAGGCGAAAAGAACCCCGGCGAGGGGAGUGAAACAGAACCUGAAACCGUGUACGUACAAGCAGUGGGAGCCCCACCACUAAGCCAGUGGUGAACUCCACAUAUGCAUCCUUUGCUGAGGAUACGGUUAACGGAGCGAAAGCGACGUUCAACCGCAAAAGAAGCAGAGGGGGCUUAGUGGUGGGGUGACUGCGUACCUUUUGUAUAAUGGGUCAGCGACUUAUAUUCUGUAGCAAGGUUAACCGCAUAGGGGAGC